rnacentral:rRNA from 1 species
CAGUAGCCACGGUAAUACGUAGGUCCCGAGCGUUGUCCGGAUUUAUUGGGCGUAAAGCGAGCGCAGGCGGUUAGAUAAGUCUGAAGUUAAAGGCUGUGGCUUAACCAUAGUACGCUUUGGAAACUGUUUAACUUGAGUGCAAGAGGGGAGAGUGGAAUUCCAUGUGUAGCGGUGAAAUGCGUAGAUAUAUGGAGGAACACCGGUGGCGAAAGCGGCUCUCUGGCUUGUAACUGACGCUGAGGCUCGAAAGCGUGGGGCGCAAACAGGAUUAGAGACCCCCGUAGUCCCUGUCUCUUAUACA